UUUGACCUCGAAUCAAGUAGGAUUACCCGCU
rnacentral:rRNA from 2 species